AUGGAAAAGCCCUGUGACUAUCAUGAGCCCAAGAUGUCAUAUUUUCGACCUGGGAUUAGCCAAUCCUCACCUCGGCGGAUGGGGUCAUGCGCGCUGCAGCUGCACCUGUUUUUGCAACCCUUGCGGACCCCCACUCCCCUGCCCUUGCUGGCUUUGCUAUAAAUAGCUUUUUGGCAAGCUCUUCCUUUGCCUAAAUUAGUAAUGGGGUAGGUAGAAAUGUCACCCCUUUUCACAAUUCCUUUAGGAGUUCUGGGAAAGGCACAGAGGUGUGUGAGGAUAUAAUUCAGUGUUAGGGUUUUUUUUUCCUUCAAGCCAGGCAAGCUAUCUGUUUGCCUUCCUCUUCAUUUUUCCCAAUUCCUAUUUGAUUUUUUGCAAUGCAUCCAUGAAUGUCACGAGAAGGAAUUUUUUUGUUUCUGUAACCUUGAUAGGGAAGGCAAGGGAGCCAAUUUUUUUUUGGUUUACUCCUAUUAGUGAAGCUGUUCAGAGAAAGGAACGUGCAGAAGCUGAUGAGUGAAUCCAUUUGGACCGUUAUCUUCUGAACCUUUAGGAGGAGCUUUUUGAACAGCUUAUUCUUUAUACAUAGACACAAAGUCAUAAAAUGAUACUAGCUUUCCAGAGGGCUGCCUCCUCCACAGUUUACUCAUGUAUUGUAGAGCUUUUUAAGGCCUGAAGAAGGGUUUUGUGGCCUAUAAUCUUGUUUGUCUCACCCCAGCUAUGUCUGUUGAUCUAAUAAAAGAUGUUACUUUUCCCUACAAAGCUAUUUUAUGCUCAUCAGCCACGAGGUCAAGCCCAUUUGAUAAAAUGAGCUGAUCAUGGAUAAACAUGGACUGCAACUUAGAAGAUUAUUAACUGUCAGAGGUGUAAGAUUCUGGAAGUCAUGCAGUGGAGAUAUUGAAGGCAAGAAAAGAAAUUGGUUUUAAGAUAGAGCCUGGUAAAUUUAUGAAUGGGAUUAUAGUGAAUGGUCUUUUCUAGUUUAUUAUGCUGUCUUAAUUCUGUGUGUUUAAUGAAUAGACCGCAGCCAGUCUUUCAACUGUACACUAUUUGAUUGAUCCUGGAGACAUCACUUGCAAAUUAUACUUCAUCAUCAUUUCCAAGGUAGCUAAGUAAAAUGAUUGCUCCAGAGAAAUUCAGAGCUUGAAUUCUUGAAUAUGAAUGAGACAUGACUCUCAGGGAAGUUAGAUCUCCAGCAGCUGCUCAUCACUUUAAGCACAGCACAGCAUUUGUAGUGGAGAGUCACCAAGUCAGCCUCUCAGCUGGUGUAAAUUGUCAUUGUGCACUGAAGUGGAGCAAUGCUAAUUUACACCAACUGAAAAUUUGACCUAAGAUUAGCUCUCUGUUCAAAUUUUUCAUGUCCUUCACUGUGUUUCUCUUUUGUCCGUGAGAUAGGAAGGUGUUUUGGUUAAGAAAGCAAACAGUGUGUUACUUCAGUGUUUAUUUUACCACAUUUGACCUGACAUGCUAGGCAAAAACUGGGAGGCUUGGAAGUUGUAUAAAAGUUAGGAGGGGACACUGGUCUCAGCUACCUCUGAUCCAGUCCUUUUUACAUUGGAGUCAUACUAAUCCAAAUAUUUUUGGACCGUGCCAUCCUUGAGGUGAGUGAACAUUGUAUUCUGCCCUGUUGGAUUUACUAAUAUGAAUGGGCUUCAGAAAUACAGGUUGUGUUUUUGCAUUAAAAGAAAAAGAGUAUUUGGCCUAAGAAACAAUAUCAAAAGAAACAAUACAUUUCUAGUAUAGAUAGCAAACAAAAAAUAAUUCUGGCAGUAGCAGCAGCAAUUCCAGAUACUAAAGUAUUGGCUGAGUUGUGUGGGAUCAGUGAAUUCCAGAACAGUGAAGUCCCACUAUCUCUAUAAAGAAUGUUAAAACUCUGUUUCUUCUGAAAACUGGAGGAAUGAAGGACAGAAGGCACAUUUUUUUGUUGUUGGGUUUUGUUUUUUUUUUUUAUUUUAUUUUUUUUAAGCUUAUGGUUGCAAAUCUUCUUCAUGUAGCCCUCAGUGUCAAAGCUCGUUUUUUUUAAGCCUUUUCUUCAUGGUCCUUCCGUGCUCCUGUGGAUGUGUCUGGCUUUUCCUGAGUUUGUUUUUAAACUACUCGACAUGGUUUUUCUAUCACCCGUAUUCAUACUCAUGCACCAAACAUGCAGUGAAAUUGUAUUCACCCACAUAGCUCAAAUUCUCAGAUUCCUGAAUGGCCUCAGACUUACUGUUCCUUUAGGUGGUGGCAUGUGCCUGCCUGUAUUUGGAGAUCUCUGGCAUUUCAGCUGUCUGCUUCCCAAAGAACAAAAAAGACCUUGUACAAAAAACUGUCGGAAAUGAAUGGUGACAGUUACACUUGCCAGCAACAACAAACUUUACCCAACCCGUAAAAAUAUGUCUAUGCAAACGCCAAGUGUUCAUAUAUGCUUUUUUUAGCAAGUUGUUAGCCACAUUUCUCAGUGAGUUAUGUAUUGGUCAUCUGAAACUUCCUUUUUUUGGGGCUUGUUUAUCCCGCAGAUACGUUAUCUACUUGACACUUUACGAAUACAAAUACCAUUCAACAAUGUGCUUCAAUCAAAGAUAGAAAAUGUUCCCUCUCUUUACAUUAUUUUUAGAAUACUAAUGUUUACAAAAAGUUUAAUGUUAUUCUUUGUUAAAACUAAGAUAAAUUUGGCAGAAGCCAAAUUUAAUAUUCAUGGAGGCAUCAUGACAUCAUUUCCUUGGAAUAGUUUAGUUUCUGUGUGUCCACUGACCUUUCUGUUGCAGAAUAUGACUCAUUUAUUCUAAAGCUUUAUUUCAGAAUUUAAAUCCUUCACUAAUCAUAAGACAUUGUUUAUGGUAUGAGCAAGGUUAUGCCAAGGUUCCUUCUGCUAGAGACCUGGGGGAGGGGGCUGGAUGAGACGGCAUACCAACUAGUGAAUGAACAGGCAAAGGAAUGAGAGUAAUUUUCACUUGUGAAUUUUUAAAUCAUGGGUUUAUUUAUUCUUUCCAGAACACUGUGUUAGCUGGGUUGCUAAGAGAGUCCUUCUACAAGGCUUUGGAGGCUGCUCGUAUCUCAACAAUGCAAAAACUGUCAUACCCCCUCUGGAGGAAGGAGAGAUAAUGUUGAAUCUUGCUCCCCAUGCAGUUGAAUCUUUUGGCCAAUGUAGAUUGUACUGAUGGAUGAGAGGAGAGGAAGUAAGCAAAACUUGAAGGUAGUUUGGAAAAUGAAGAAGGAUGGAGAAUGAAUAAGGCAUGAAGUAAGCGUUCAAGCUUUUCACAGCACACACACAGUGAAGAAGCUGAGCUAUAAGGCAUGUUGUUAAUGUGUGAUGAUUCAUCCAGCGCUCCAAAAUAUUCCGACAGUUUUUCAGCAUUCUUUGCUGCUUCUUCCUGACCCUUCCUCCUGCACCGUCCCAGUUCCUGCAUGACUGGUUCCUGUAAGAUGCUUCAGUGCGGUCCCUGUCAGAACGUCAUGAUGCCCUUUAAUCCCAUGUCACUCAGACAUAUGGAACUAAGCGUAUUCUGGACUGCAGCCUUUCAGCCUCAGCCUUGAAAGCCACUUGCCAUAGAGUUUACAAUGGGUAACUUGUCCUCUGAGUUAUUUUGGCUUCAGUUUGGGUUAUUUUGAGUUCUGUUUUAAAGAAACAGAGAAUAUCAGUCCUGAUCCUCAUAUAGGAUAUACACAUAUAGUGUAUACUCUAGUAUACACUCGUUCUUCUGAUAACAUGUAAGAAAAAUCAGGGUGCUUCAGUGUGUUGUAGUUGCUUAUCCAGACAUAACCCUGGGGCAAAAGACAAGUAUACACAGCAGGGUGUGCAGGGCUAACACUAUGAAAAUAUUUUAGAAAGGAAAUGCUGCAAAUAGAAGGCAUGUUAAUGAAUGCACAUUUCUCUUCUUCUGUUCUGUGUGGUUCUCUUCUGUUUGAUGCCGUUAAUACCUGUCUUGCUACUCUUCACUUAUGGCCAUGCUAAAUAUGUCCAGUUCUGUGCUAAGAACAGAGCCCAUGCUGCCUUUUUGUGCUCCCCUUGUCUGCCUCUGCUAGAGGCAGCUGAAAAAAAGAACAAAAUGCUCCCUUCGCUAGGAGUGAACUGCCUGCCUUCAUGGUCAUUGUGACAUGUGGAUACGGGAUCCAAAUCGGACGGCAGAACAAUUACCUCCUGUUUUCUUGAAUCGGUGUACUUCUCAGUGCUAGUCCUUGUACAUUUGAUCUCA